rnacentral:rRNA from 1 species
GGGCGCUAGCCUGAUGCAGCCAUGCCGCGUGAGUGAUGAAGGCCUUCGGGUUGUAAAGCUCUUUGAGAAGAGAGGAUAAUGACGGUAGCAUCAGAAGAAGCUCCGGCUAACUCCGUGCCAGCAGCCGCGGUAAUACGGAGGGAGCGAGCGUUGUUCGGAAUUACUGGGCGUAAAGCGUAUGUAGGCGGUUUUGUAAGACAGAUGUGAAAUCCCAGAGCUUAACUUUGGAACUGCAUUUGUGACUGCAAGACUUGAGUCAGAGAGAGGUUGGCGGAAUUCCAAGUGUAGAGGUGAAAUUCGCAGAUAUUUGGAGGAACACCAAUGGCGUAAGCAGCCAACUGGGACAUUACUGACGCUGAGAUACGAAAGCGUGGGGAGCAAACAGGAUUAGAUACCCUGGUAGUCCACGCCAUAAACGAUGUGUGCUAGCUGCUGGGAUCCAUGGAUCUCGGUGGCGCAGCUAACGCCUUAAGCACACCGCCUGGGGAGUACGGUCGCAAGAUUAAAACUCAAAGGAAUUGACGGGG